rnacentral:lncRNA from 1 species
ACUUUUUCGAUGUUUAUGACGUAGAUCUGAGAAAUGAACUGUCCUUUUGUGUUUAGAUAUGCUUGUUGCACUUGAAUAUGAACUUAUUUGGGGUUUAUAACAUGAAAAAUGGCUUAUGUGAGAGUCUUGAAAGUUUAGAGUUUGAAAUGAGAAAUGUAGAAAAUUGUCAUCUAAGAGGUCUGAACCUUUACGUGCAAUUUUGACCUCUUUUCGUUGUGAACUGGUUUUAGUGGCCAACAUAAAAGUUGUAGCCCUGUUUGUUAGCUUUCCAACGAGUAUAUGUGCGUCUCCAUUGGACUUUCGUAGCCCAAGUUAUGAUCGUUGCAAUGAGAGGCUGUCCAAUAUUUCCGCCUGAAACGGCAGAGCAGUGAGCAGCCAGCCUUUCAGAUGUUUUUCCGCCCCAGGCGUAAAUGCUGCAGUUUGCACCAGUUUUUCAUCUGCGGUCUUCCUUUGCAUGUAGUUUCGAACCAGUAUCUUAUUCUUACAUGAUUGUUGAUGAUUGUUGAUGAUUGUUGAUGCUUGUUGAUGAUUGUUGAUGCAUAUAUUGAUUGUUAAUCAUGUAUGAUGUUGUAAA